GCGUAAAGCGAGCGCAGAGCGGUUUUUUAAGUCUGAUGUGAAAGCCUUCGGCUCAACCGAAGAAUUGCAUCGGAAACUGGGAAACUUGAGUGCAGAAGAGGACAGUGGAACUCCAUGUGUAGCGGUGAAAUGC
rnacentral:rRNA from 1 species